UACGGAGGGUGCGAGCGUUGUCCGGAAUCACUGGGCGCAAAGGGCGCGUAGGUGGCCUGUGGAAGUCUGCGGUGAAAGCCCGGCGCUCAACGCCGGGUCUGCCGUGGAUACUCUCGGGCUUGAGCUUACUAGAGGCAGAUGGAAUUCCGGGUGUAGCGGUGGAAUGCGUAGAGAUCCGGAAGAACACCGGUGGCGAAGGCGGUCUGCUGGGGUAAUGCUGACACUGAGGCGCGACAGCGUGGGGAGCAAACAGG
rnacentral:rRNA from 1 species